rnacentral:rRNA from 1 species
GAUGGGAAACAGGUUAAUAUUCCUGUACUCGGUGUUACUGCGAAGGGGGGACGGAGAAGGCUAUGUUGGCCGGGCGACGGUUGUCCCGGUUUAAGCAUGUAGGCGGAGGUUCCAGGUAAAUCCGGAACCUUAUUCAACGCUGAGGUGUGAUGACGAGGCACUACGGUGCUGAAGCAACAAAUGCCCUGCUUCCAGGAAAAGCCUCUAAGCAUCAGGUAACAUCAAAUCGUACCCCAAACCGACACAGGUGGUCAG